GACGAACGCUGGCGGCGUGCUUAACACAUGCAAGUCGAACGGAAAGGCCCUGCUUUUGUGGGGUGCUCGAGUGGCGAACGGGUGAGUAACACGUGAGUAACCUGCCCUUGACUUUGGGAUAACUUCAGGAAACUGGGGCUAAUACCGGAUAGGAGCUCCUGCUGCAUGGUGGGGGUUGGAAAGUUUCGGCGGUUGGGGAUGGACUCGCGGCUUAUCAGCUUGUUGGUGGGGUAGUGGCUUACCAAGGCUUUGACGGGUAGCCGGCCUGAGAGGGUGACCGGCCACAUUGGGACUGAGAUACGGCCCAGACUCCUACGGGAGGCAGCAGUGGGGAAUAGUGCACAAUGGGCGGAAGCCUGAUGGAGCAACGCCGCGUGCGGGAUGACGGCCUUCGGGUUGUAAACCGCUUUCGCCUGUGACGAAGCGUGAGUGACGGUAAUGGGUAAAGAAGCACCGGCUAACUACGUG
rnacentral:rRNA from 1 species